rnacentral:rRNA from 1 species
AAUAUUGCACAAUGGGCGGAAGCCUGAUGCAGCGACGCCGCGUGAGGGAUGACGGCCUUCGGGUUGUAAACCUCUUUCAGCAUCGACGAAGCCGUAAGGUGACGGUAGGUGCAGAAGAAGCGCCGGCUAACUACGUGCCAGCAGCCGCGGUAAUACGUAGGGCGCGAGCGUUGUCCGGAAUUAUUGGGCGUAAAGAGCUCGUAGGCGGCCUGUUGCGUCCGCUGUGAAAUCCCAGGGCUUAACCCUGGGCGUGCAGUGGAUACGGGCAGGCUGGAGGCAGGCAGGGGAGAACGGAAUUCCCGGUGUAGCGGUGAAAUGCGCAGAUAUCGGGAGGAACACCGGUGGCGAAGGCGGUUCUCUGGGCCUGUGCUGACGCUGAGGAGCGAAAGCGUGGGGAGCGAAC